AGCGAACGCUGGCGGCGUGCUUAACACAUGCAAGUCGAGCGAGAAAGGGGGCUUCGGCCCCUGAGUACAGCGGCGAACGGGUGCGUAAUACAUGAGUAAUCUACCCUUGAGGCGGGAAUAACCCAGCGAAAGUUGGGCUAAUACCGGAUAAGACCACAAGAGGAGACCCUAGAGGUUAAAGGCAGCUUUCUUUGGGUAGCGGCCCUUCGAGGAGGAGCUCAUGUCCUAUCAGCUAGNGG
rnacentral:rRNA from 1 species